AGUAGGACGCACAGUUUAUACCGUAGCUUGCUACACCAUAGACUGUGAGUUGCGAACGGGUGAGUAACGCGUAGGUAACCUGCCUAUUAGAGGGGGAUAACUAUUGGAAACGAUAGCUAAUACCGCAUAACAGUAUGUAACACAUGUUAGAUGCUUGAAAGAUGCAAUUGCAUCGCUAGUAGAUGGACCUGCGUUGUAUUAGCUAGUAGGUAGGGUAAUGGCCUACCUAGGCGACGAUACAUAGCCGACCUGAGAGGGUGAUCGGCCACACUGGGACUGAGACACGGCCCAGACUCCUACGGGAGGCAGCAGUAGGGAAUCUUCGGCAAUGGGGGGAACCCUGACCGAGCAACGCCGCGUGAGUGAAGAAGGUUUUCGGAUCGUAAAGCUCUGUUGUUAAGGAAGAACGAGUGUGAGAAUGGAAAGUUCAUACUGUGACGGUACUUAACCAGAAAGGGACGGCUAACUACGUGCCAGCAGCCGCGGUAAUACGUAGGUCCCGAGCGUUGUCCGGAUUUAUUGGGCGUAAAGCGAGCGCAGGCGGUUAGAAAAGUCUGAAGUGAAAGGCAGUGGCUCAACCAUUGUAGGCUUUGGAAACUGUUUAACUUGAGUGCAGAAGGGGAGAGUGGAAUUCCAUGUGUAGCGGUGAAAUGCGUAGAUAUAUGGAGGAACACCGGUGGCGAAAGCGGCUCUCUGGUCUGUAACUGACGCUGAGGCUCGAAAGCGUGGGGAGCGAACAGGAUUAGAUACCCUGGUAGUCCACGCCGUAAACGAUGAGUGCU
rnacentral:rRNA from 2 species